rnacentral:lncRNA from 1 species
GUCACCGGGAAUGCAUCUUUGAACAUCGUAUUGCAUUCGUGUUUCCAUCGUUUUCAUCGGGCAGUUUUGACAUUACGAUGUCUACACGAAUGAAUCACGAAGCUACCCGAAGGUCUUACGAUGGCAACACGACUUCGUGAAGACCUCGUAAUCCCGUCGUGUUGCCAUCGAAUAAAAGUACGAAGGCGACAAGAUGGAACUACGACGGCAAUAAAUCCAGAUAAAAGUAAGUUAAUUUUCGCGCUAAAAUACAUUUAAAGUGUCAUGCGCGAUAUGCACUGGUCAGUCUAAUACGAUAGUUAAGAAAGACGUUGACAAAACAUGGAGCUCAUAUCAUAUGAUUCUAUGAGAACAAGAAAGGCAACAGCGUUGUUUCUAUUAAUUCAAAUGGAACAAGAAGAGCAGCUAUUACAGGCUCAGGAUUUACUUUUACAAGUAAAAUAUUAUUUUUUGUCAAUUUUUCAUAUCAAGUAACAUAAUGAAAAUCAUAAACGCGCCUCGUACACCAACACUGCAGGUACACGUAUAUAGGGAAACC